rnacentral:lncRNA from 1 species
GCCCGACCAAUUACCACUCGCAAUCCCUUCUUAUUAGAAUUCAUUACCAAUUUUCAGAAAUAGAUACCAAUUUAAUAUAAGUAGAAGUCUGAAAUAAAAGAUUGAGAUAUGCGGAAAGCCAUAAUGAAAUCUCUACAAAUGCCUAAUGAUCUGGUGUCACAAGUUUGAGCCUCUAAUACAAGGUUUCAACAGCCCAAUGCAGAAAUAUGUCUAAAAUGCGGAAUAGUAAAGAAAGUUAGAGGGAGAAAUCGGGUCUGCGGACUCCGUGCAGCUACCUCUAUAACUCCGAUGAAAAACUGAACGGCAGGAAAGCUCGCUCUACACCUCAGGGACACUUGUACCUGCACACACGGUGCAGGGAGUAAUGUGAGUACUCCGACCCAGUGAGUAAUAACAAUAAAUAAUGGCUGACGGUAUGAAAUUAUGUAAAGGCACUAAGCAGUUCUAUAUCAAAGUAGUAAAACCAUUUAAAGAGCAAGUAGUAAAGAAAAUUGAAUGAAACUCUUUGAGCCAGGUGAAAACAGGUAGUUUGACAGGCAUUAAUCCAGUAUAAAUCCGUUCCUCGAGCAUUUCUGUUCAUUUACUUAUUUCUUACCCUCAAUACUCAAUUCAUAUACUUCUCACAAUAACUGAAAUCGAAACAUAUAUAUAUACCGCUGCGACGUGCAGCCUGAUCCGUAUAUCAUUGUGGCGCACAUCCCGAUCCAUAAUAAUAAUGGUCAACUGCGCUCACUAGGGGUGUGCAGACUACAGAGGGGCUCCUACAGCCCAAGCACUAUAUUGAUGCGGCAUGCAGCCCGAUUCAUAUAUAUAUAUAUUUACAUAUUUGUUGCGGCGCGCAAUCCGGUCCAUAUAAGUAUUUGUUGCGGCGUGCAGCCCGAUCCAAUAUCAUAUAUAAUAUCCUCACUAUUGGGUCCUCAACCCCUCUCAGUCAUUAUAUUCACAGCCUCUCGGGCACAAUAAUAUAAGGUAGGGAUCUCAGCCCACAUAUUUCUUUCAUUUAUGAUUAACAUUUCAUAACCUGGUUCAUUUCAUUUUUAAACAAUUAGAAACAUGAUUGAGGAUGUGAUUUUUAGCAAAUAAGUGAGGAAAACCAGUCAAAAAUCCCAUAACGGUUCUACAAGUCGGCACAAGUCCCCAAACAUGGCAACUAGCCGAAGUCAUGAUGACAAUACAUAAGUCUCAAUAAAAAUGUAGUGAAAAUAUCAAUUGGGAUGGACCAAGUCACAAUCCCCAGUAGCAAUGAACCCCACGCUCAUCACGCAGCGUGUGUCUCAUCUCAGUAUAGCACUACGUUGUGCAAAAUUCGGGGUUUUAAACCCUUAGGACAUCAUUUAAAGUCAUUACUCACCUCAAACCGGCCAAAGCUCUAGCUCGCUAUGCUCUUGCCUCUCAAAUCGGCCUCCUCACGCGUCGAAUCUGACCAAAACCAGAACGAAUAUGUCACAAUAUGCUAAGGGAACAAAAUCCAAUCGAAAACAAUCAAAAAUAUCAAAAAUCCCGAAAUUAGCAAAACUCGAGCCCCGGGCCCACUUCUUGAAAUUCAGAAAUUUUUACAUCAACGGGUUCCUUAUCUCUCCACGAGUUCAUACAUACCAAAAGUUCUCAAAUCCGACCCCAAAUGGUCCUCCAAAUCCCCAAUAAAAAUCUCAAAAUCCCAAGCCCUAUUUCUUCUAUUUUUAGCAAGAAUUCAAUGAUUUUCUAGGUGGAUCUCACAAUAUAAAUGAGUUUUAGGUCCGAAAUUCUUACCUCCAAAUGUUUCUCCUUGAAUCCCUCUUCAAUCUCCUUCAAAAAGCUCUCAAAAUGAUCAA